rnacentral:rRNA from 1 species
UCGAGAGUUUGAUCCUGGCUCAGGAUGAACGCUAGCGGCAGGCUUAACACAUGCAAGUCGAGGGGUAUAGUUCUUCGGAGCUAGAGACCGGCGCACGGGUGCGUAACGCGUAUGCAAUCUACCUUAUACAGGGGAAAAGCCCAGAGAAAUUUGGAUUAAUGCCCCAUAGUGUUAUUGAAUCGCAUGGUUUAAUAACUAAAGUUCCAACGGUAUAAGAUGAGCAUGCGUCCCAUUAGCUAGAUGGUAAGGUAACGGCUUACCGAUGGCUAC